rfam:Mesocricetus auratus contig047989, whole genome shotgun sequence.
GGAGAGGUGGCUCAGAGGUUAAGAGCACUGGCUGCUGUUCCAGAGGUCCUGAGUUCAAUUCCCAGCAACCACA